rnacentral:rRNA from 1 species
AUUGAACGCUGGCGGCAUGCCUUACACAUGUAAGUCGAACGGUAACAGGUCUUCGGAUGCUGACGAGUGGCGAACGGGUGAGUAAUACAUCGGAACGUGCCUAGUAGUGGGGGAUAACUACUCGAAAGAGUGGCUAAUACCGCAUGAGAUCUACGGAUGAAAGCAGGGGAUCGCAAGACCUUGUGCUACUAGAGCGGCCGAUGGGAGAUUAGGUAGUUGGUGGGAUAAAAGCUUACCAAGCCGACGAUCUGUAGCUGGUCUGAGAGGACGAUCAGCCACACUGGGACUGAGACACGGCCCAGACUCCUACGGGAGGCAGCAGUGGGGAAUUUUGGACAAUGGGCGCAAGCCUGAUCCAGCAAUGCCGCGUGCAGGAUGAAGGCCUUCGGGUUGUAAACUGCUUUUGUACGGAACGAAAAGCCCCGGGUUAAUACCCUGGGGUCAUGACGGUACCGUAAGAAUAAGCACCGGCUAACUACGUGCCAGCCGCCGCAGUAA